CAGGUGUCCAGGAUCCUGCAGCUGCUGGCCCUCGAGGUCCUGGCCCUCAUGAGCAGAUCCCACCAAACAAGCCUCCUUGGUUUGAUCAGCCUCAUCCGGUUGCUCCGUGGGGUCAACAACAGCCCCCUGAGCAACCCCCAUACCCACACCACCAAGGUGGACCACCCCAUUGCCCACCCUGGAACAACAGCCAUGAGGGCAUGUGGGGUGAGCAGCGAGGAGACCCUGGUUGGAAUGGGCAGCGAGAUGCUCCGUGGAACAACCAGCCAGACCCUAAUUGGAAUAACCAGUUUGAAGGACCAUGGAACAAUCAACAUGAGCCACCACCCUGGGGUGGUGCCCAGCGUGAGCCACCCUUCCGGAUGCAGCGACCUCCCCACUUCCGUGGGCCCUUCCCACCCCACCAGCAGCACCCACAGUUCAACCAGCCUCCACAUCCCCACAACUUCAACCGUUUCCCGCCCCGCUUCAUGCAGGAUGACUUCCCCCCUCGUCACCCUUUUGAGCGGCCACCCUACCCUCACCGCUUUGACUAUCCCCAGGGAGACUUCCCCGCAGGUGAGUAGGCAGUGUAGGAUAGUCCCCUGUGGGUGUCUCCUGCCUGCCUCUCUGCAUCUGCCUGUUAGUGCUGUGGACGUGACAAGCAUAGGGCGGGUGUGGAAUGGGCAGAGAGGGACAGUGAGCCUCCAUUCUACACCCACAUGUGCUAGGAGCCAGGCCCCCUGCCAGAGGUGCUAAGGCAUCCCUGGUGCUCUUGGCACACAGGCCAUGAGCAGCCAGCCAGACUUUGCCAGUCAGUACUUCAACUACCAUUUUUGUACCCUGGCCGUGCUGGCCUGGCCGCUUGCUUGCCUGAGGCUUUGCCUAUGUCUCUGGGCUGCUGGCAGCCUGAGCUGCACACGGAAGCCGCAGACAAGGAUGUAUCUCAGUGCUAACUCCACAGGGCUCAGGGCUGGCCUUCCUCAAAAAAGCUUCCCUCUGCCUGUGUCCUUAUUGCUGUCUUCAAAGGACCCCAGGCAGUUGGGCUGGCGUCCAUCAGCGACCUAGCUUUAAAGUUACCCUUUGAGGCCAGAUACUAGCUCAUCGGUGCUCAGGUCCUGGUAAAGAAGGCCUCAGCACAUUUGUUCAGCUUGCUGCCACAGCAUGCUGUAGAGGUCCUUCAAGCUGCUUGAGUCCCCUUAGCUACACCCGUGUCUGUGAGAGUUCCAGACCCCCAAGCCAGCUUCUGUCUUACUCCUUUGCAGAAUCCUGAUGGCCCUUUUGCCUGAUUUGAUUACCCUAGCCAGCUGGAGAUAACGUUUUGUUUUACAGACAUGGGACCCCCUCAUCACCAUCCUGGCCACCGCAUGCCACACCCUGGGAUCAAUGAGCACCCGCCUUGGGCUGGGCCCCAGCACCCUGACUUUGGCCCUCCUCCCCACGGCUUCAAUGGCCAGCCCCCCCACAUGCGGCGACAGGGCCCACCUCACAUCAACCAUGAUGACCCCAGCCUGGUCCCCAAUGUGCCCUACUUCGAUCUUCCAGCGGGGUUAAUGGCUCCCCUUGUGAAGCUGGAGGACCAUGAGUACAAGCCUCUGGACCCCAAAGACAUCCGCCUGCCACCCCCCAUGCCUCCCAGUGAGAGGCUACUUGCAGCUGUGGAAGCCUUCUACAGCCCACCCUCCCAUGACAGACCAAGGAACAGGUAGGGAAGUUGGUGCCCCAAGGCCUGGCUGAGCCCCCACCCACUAAGUCUGUCCGGCAGAUGAGGACUUCUUCCUCUGCACACUGCAUUGGGCCUGGAGUGAUGGCCUUGUAGCAUCCAGCCUCGGCCCAGCCUGCCACAGCAGACACUAAGAACAGCAAUGGGCAUGAUAGGAGGUCUCCUGGGAUUUGGGGGGAGGGCUGGAGACCCAGCAGAACCCCAGCUACCUCUUGGUUAGCUUCCUAGUGCAAGGGACCCCCUUCCUGGCCACUGUGGUCCUUGGGGGCUGACGCAAGCCUCUCAUGGGGACCAUGUCAUGCAGCGAGGGCUGGGAGCAGAAUGGCCUCUAUGAAUUCUUUCGAGCUAAGAUGCGGGCACGGCGGCGCAAGGGCCAGGAGAAGAGGAACAGGUGAGCUGUGCUCGUUUCAUGGGGCUGCCAUUGUGGCAUGUGGUUGCUGUUCACUGCCGUCCUCACUGUGGCAUUUCCCUGCAGUGGCCCCUCCAGGUCACACAGCCGGUCCAAGAGCCGAGGCCGUUCCUCAUCUC
rnacentral:lncRNA from 1 species